rnacentral:rRNA from 1 species
UACGUAGGUGGCAAGCGUUAUCCGGAAUUAUUGGGCGUAAAGAGGGAGCAGGCGGCAGCAAAGGUCUGUGGUGAAAGACCGAAGCUUAACUUCAGUAAGCCAUAGAAACCGGGCAGCUAGAGUGCAGGAGAGGAUCGUGGAAUUCCAUGUGUAGCGGUGAAAUGCGUAGAUAUAUGGAGGAACACCAGUGGCGAAGGCGACGAUCUGGCCUGCAACUGACGCUCAGUCCCGAAAGCGUGGGGAGCAAAUAGG